rnacentral:rRNA from 1 species
AGAGUUUGAUUAUGGCUCAGGAUGAACGCUGGCGGCGUGCUUAACACAUGCAAGUCGAACGAAGCCAAAAGGAAGCUUGCUUCUUUGAAGCUUAGUGGCGGACGGGUGAGUAACGCGUGAGGAACCUGCCCUUCAGUGGGGAAUAACAGCCGGAAACGACUGCUAAUACCGCAUAACGUCGGAGUGCCGCAUGACACACCGACCAAAGGAUUUAUUCGCUGAAGGAUGGCCUCGCGUCCGAUUAGGCAGUUGGUGAGGUAACGGCCCACCAAACCUACGAUCGGUAGCCGAACUGAGAGGUUGAUCGGCCACAUUGGGACUGAGACACGGCCCAGACUCCUACGGGAGGCAGCAGUGGGGAAUAUUGGGCAAUGGGCGAAAAAGCCUGACCCGGCAACGCCGCGUGAAGGAAGACGGUCUUCGGAUUGUAAACUUCUUUGAUUGGGGAAGAACACAAUGACCUACCCAAAGAACAAGUCACGGCUAACUACGUGCCAGCAGCCGC